CAGCAGCCGCGGUAAUACGAAGGGGGCUAGCGUUGCUCGGAAUUACUGGGCGUAAAGGGCGCGUAGGCGGGUGUUUAAGUCAGAGGUUAAAUCCCAGGGCUCAACCCUGGAACUGCCUUUGAUACUGGGCACCUAGAGUUCGGGAGAGGUGUGUGGAACUCCGAGUGUAGAGGUGAAAUUCGUAGAUAUUCGGAGGAACACCAGUGGCGAAGGCGACACACUGGCCCGAUACCGACGCUGAGGCGCGAAAGCGUGGGGAGCAAACAGGAUUAGAUACCCCGGUAGUCCCUGUCUCUUAUAC
rnacentral:rRNA from 1 species